CUCCUGUUCACCAGUUGUAAAGGUUUGACUCCUGUUCACCAGUUGUAAAGGUUUGACUCUUUUUGAGCUGUUGUAAAGGUGUCACUCCUGUUCACCAGUUGUAAAGGUUUGACUCCUGUUCACCAGUUGUAAAGGUUUGACUCUUUUUGAGCGGUUGUAAAGGUUUGACUCCUGUUCACCAGUUGUAAAGGUUUGACUCCUGUUCACCAGUUGUAAAGGUUUGACUCUUUUUGAGCUGUUGUAAAGGUUUGACUCCUGUUCACCAGUUGUAAAGGUUUGACUCCUGUUCACCAGUUGUAAAGGUUUGACUCCUGUUCAGCUGUUGUAAACGUUUGACUAUUUUUGAGCUGUUGUAAAAGUGUCACUCCUGUUCACCAGUUGUAAAGGUGUCACUCCUGUUCACCAGUUGUAAAGGUGUCACUUCUGUUCACCAGUUGUAAAAGUGUCACUCCUGUUCACCAGUCGUAAUGG
ensembl:lncRNA